AAAAAAAGAAAAAGAAAAAAAAAAAAAAGACCGCAUCCAACAACCACACUAUAAUCUAUUUAUAAUCACUUUCCUAAACACUAUAAAUAUUAUAACUAAUUUGAUAUAUGUUUUGUGAUUAAAUGGGUGGAUUAGAACACUGAAUUUAAAAAGCCACAAAGAAAAAGAGAUUAUCUUCUAUUAUGCCAUUACAACUUUUGUUCCAUUGGCACAAAUACAAAUUUGACAACUGUAUCAUUACUAAACGCAGUGACUAAAUGCCAGGAUAUUAGCUUUGUAAUUUUCACCUGAAGUCAUUGUAUAAUCAUACCAGCUUGUAUUGUAUAAUCAUACCAUAACCUUCUUUUUAUUAGCUGAUUUUUUUUUCUUGUUCUCACACCGUCGUAAGUUAAUUUAAUGCUUUCCCUCCCCGCUUCCAACUUUUAUUUGGUAAGAGAAGAAACUGGGUAAGUCAGAACAAUGUUCAAGAACACAUACUCUUUUUAAAAAAAUUCCCUCUGUACUUGGCAAGGAUUGACAUAUAGUUUGGUUGUAAAUUCAUAAAUCAAAUUCUGCUUUUUUUCAGGGAAAAUAAUAGCACUCAGAUAAUUCCAUGGGGUAUCAUUCAGGUUGGAUUUUUUUGUUUUUGCCUAUUUGCUAUCAUUUUAUGUUAUACAAAGUAAAUGAUAUUUUUUUUUUAAAGUGAGUUCAAAUUAUCAACAAGGAUACCUAGAAAAUUUACAUUGUUGAUGAGCACUGCCAUGAACAAGUUCCCUGGAAGAAAAACUUGCUUUUUGCCUGUGGGCCACAACCAUGCCUGAGGUCAGAUGUUCGAAAAUAAAUCCUGCAGAAAAAAUUUGAAAGUGUGCUUGCAGCUGAUGGUGAUGAACAGCAUGCCCCGUGCUCUCUGUGGCUGCUGGUGCUAGCUGUAUAUCCAUGCGGUCACGCCUGGGGUCUGCGUGGAAACCUUCCGUGAGCAUCUGUUAUCAUCUCCUACGCACUUGGGAAGUCCACACAUUCACUUUUCAGGAUGUCUUUGUUACCUGCUGCGCCUUGCCCGGUUGAGUCCAUCUGAGAGGAGGCAGCGGACGCAGGCACUGCCCACGCCUUCCCUCUCUCUCUCGACCCCUCCGGAAUUGGAAGUCUGUCCCCCGUGGAACGCUGGAAAUUUAUAGGAGGACUCCAAGCCUCACUGGGAAAGUUCUUGAGCUGGGAAAAUACUUGUCAACACACACCUGGACUUACAGAUUCGGAAAAAUUAACUGGCUGUAGCCAAAAACCAAACACUCAACCACCCAAACACAGUCUGCAAGAAACACAGAGUUCUUUGACGUGACAAGAAGAAUUAUAAAUAAAAUAGCUCCAAGGCAGACGGGCUGAAUGAGCCUUUUAAGACAGCCUGUUGGUGCCUCCAACUUUAAUACUUAGAACAUUAAAUGUUAGCUCCACCAGGAUAAUAUCCUAGGAUGUGUGUGGGUGUGUGCCUAUGUAUGUGAGCGUACAUGUGCGCGGACACGUAUGUGUGUGUGGCAGUAAAAGUUGUGUUGCUCUUGGGCCUGGGGGCCAACUUGGGGUCCCGGUGGAAAGUCCUGCCCAGGGGCAGGGGCAGGCCCACGUGCAGCCUCCUUGGGUUACCCCCUUUCUCAGACACGCAUGCAAACACUCGAAGCCAGCGAAAACACAACCUGCCGCGGAGAACACGGACAGGUCUCACGUGGGGAGCAGCUCUUCUCCCUGCAGUAGAAAAUGGUUUUGUGAGCGAGCGGCAAGCCCGGCUGGCCUCACUCAUCGUCACUGGGACAAACGCAGCAAAGGCAGUCCUGGGGAGACAGGCAAGGGGCCAGGGAGCUGAGCCGGGGGUGCUCUCUGC